GCCUCUUUAGACAGGUUGGAGCCAAACCUGAGCUCUCUGAAAUAGUCUGCCUGCAAGAGGAGGUGGUUUCCUCUGUCCUCAGUCCCUUGCUAAAUGCUUUGGUACUGGAGGGUGUCACUCCUCCCCUAGACAACUUGGCUGCCUCAGAAUCGACUUGGUAUUAACUGAACAGGAUACAAAUGAAACGGCUAACCACCAUGCAUGAUGGAGUUCAAUGGAAUGUUGCUGCUUUCCAUCUCUUAGCUGCAAUGUCCCUAAUAAAGGGCAGGAUCCAAGAAACAACACACUUAGCCAAACUUCAGGCAGUAGUCUUAGUGCUGGAUGCCUGGCCAACAAGUAGCCCUAUCUUCACAUUUAUUAAAAACUGUUGGGUCAUUACCUAAAAUUGUCACUUGCAGGCAGAAAAAAACCUAACAAACUCAGACUCUUUUGCUUCACAGAUAUCGAAAAUAUAAAUCAAAAUCAUACAUCUCCAUAUAUAUUAAGCCCACAAUACAAGACCUUGGCACUGCACCCCAAUACUAUAUUGAUAAUAACCAAAAUAUACUCUUCUCAAAAUAGACCAUGCUAGUCUCUUGAAAAAUGUAUACACUAGAACUUUCUUGUCCCUGGUAGGUAUUAAAUACCCAGUUUAAUUAAGAGACCUAAUGAUCAUUUCACAAGCUCCUUUUCAAAUUCCAGUUAGGUAAAUAGGCCUCUAAAUGAGUCUCUUGCUCUAGGCCUUAACCUCUCUUAAUUCAAGGCCCCCUGGCCAGUGUAUGGCUCAUACCAGCUUAAAAUUUUCCCUUAUAUUUAAAGGUGACAUGCAUUGCUUCAUGUACAUAAAGAGUCAUUAUAUAUGUGGUCCAUUUUAUAAUGUCUUUCCCUAUCUUUAUACAUUUUUAAUCAUUCCUCUUUCCCAGAAGGGCUGGAGGCCAGAUCAAGGGCCCAUUAACCAGAUUGUUCAUGUACCAGAUGGCUGUUGAUCUGAUAGGGGACCUAUUUGAGCCUAAACUUCGAAAAAACAAAAACCCUGUCAGUGUAGCUGCACACCUUCCUAUUGACUGUUGGUCUUAUUGCCACUGGUCUGGGUGCUUUCAUUAAUUUACAGUCAGAACCCUCUAAAUGAGACAUUGUUUCCACCAAACAUAGCAAAUGCUGAGACCCAUAUCAUCUCAAGCGGGCCCCCUCUUGGAAAGGAUACCCUGUCCCACAUCCCAGAGGACAUCUCCUAGUCUAAGACCUCACUGUUGCAGAUGACUUCACCCUGACCCUAAAACCUUGGCCCCAGCAGCACACAUGGGCUGCCUCUCCUGAGGCACAAAUUGAAUGCAGGACAUUUUCGCUUUUCUUCCCUCAAUAUUAGGGAUCCUAGUACAUUUCUGAGAUUACUUAGCCUGUGAUCCUGCCAUACUACUUGUUCUCUGCUGAAAGGCAUAACCCCACACUCCUGCGCCAAAAGAGUAAGCUACUAGAGGUUACUCUAAAAGUCUCCACUAACAUCAUCCCCAAAGAUUCCUUAAUAUGAUGUCAAAACAUAGGGUUAGUUUUAUUGAGAACAUUUUCUUAUUUUCUGUAUCCCGGGUACUUAGGCAUUUGGGUCCUUGAUUCUGGUGAUACCACCCUUUCCAGGACUAGCUAGUUCCCAGUGAUGGCAACACCACCUGGGAGUGUAUAUUUAAUAUCCAAGCUAACCAAUCCAGAGUUCUCACCUCAAUCAUCUCCUUUAUCAAAUUCUCCCAUACCAAGCCAGUAUUCACUUGCCCUGAAUCACCCCAGGGCCAGUACCAGCCAGCUAAGGACAGCUCCUACAGCCUAGAGUCUACUGAAGUUAUUCAAAAUAUGCAAACUUACCUGGUGUACCUGCCCUAUCUCACCCAUUCCUUCCCAUAAAAACUUCAAUAAAACCUCUGGGCCAUGUCCACCCUCUCCCUCUUGCCUCCUGACUGAUCCUGGUCAUUCCCCAUGUGGCCCUGCCCAGCAUGGUGUACCAUUAUUCCUGGUUCUGCAGAUAUUUGAGUAUAAACUUAAUGCUUUACAAUGAUCAUUUCCAUGUUGGUGUGUCUUAGAACAAAUCCCAGGUACAAAUUUUAACACAUUGUCAUUUUUUUUUAAUUGCACAAUACUCCAUCUUGUGAAUGUACCACUUUUUUUUUUCCUGCCGAUCCCCUAUUUAGGCCACAUGUGCAGUGGUAAAGAUUGUGAACUGCACUAUGUUUUCCUUAGGUAAUGUAUUUGGGUAAUACAGUUUCGUUAUUGAAUAUCAUCUUUUCCUCUGGCAAAGAAAAUGGUAAUUUUGCUGUGUAGAAUUCUUGGGUUAUAGUCCUUUUGUUUGUUUGUUUGUUUUGUUGUUGUUAGUCUAACUAUUAUGUCUCCUUUCUUCUAGCUUCUAUAUUGUAGAUUAGGAUUCUAGAUCUACAAUUUGAUUUUUUUUUUUCAUCUCUGUAAAGAACUUGUUCUUGGAGUUCCCAUGGUGGCUCAGUGGUUAACGAAUCCAACUAGGAACCAUGAGGUUGCGGGUUUGAUCCCUGGCCCUGCUCAGUGGGUUAAGGAUCCGGCAUUGCUGUUGCCGUGAGCUGUGGUGUAGGUCACAGACUUGGCUCGGAUCCCGCAUUGCUGUGGCUCUGGCAUAGGCCAGUGGCUACAGCUCCAAUUAGACCCCUAGCCUGGGAACCUCCACAUGCCACAGGAGUGGCCCUAGAAAAGGGAAAAAGACAAUAAAAGGAAAAAGAAAAAAAAAGCUUGUUCUUUAUAGCUGAAAGCUUGUCAACUGUGAGAAUUUUUUUUCUUAUUAUCUAAUUUUACCAGAUAUCUGAUAAGUCUACACCUCCCCCCUCACUUCCUGGACCUCUUGUGAGAUUUUAUUUUAUUUUCCACAUCUGUGGCAUGCAGAAGUUCCUUGGCCAUCAAUCAGAUGCCCUUCACAGCAGUGACCCAAGCCACAGCAGUGACAAUGCCAGAUCUUUAACCAGGGGACUCCCUGUAAAUUCUGUUAAUCUGAAGCCUCAAGCCUUCUCUCAGCUCGGGAAUAUUUUCUCCUAUUAUUUAUUUAAUUGCUGCUUCUCUCUUUUUUUUUUCUCUCUGCAUCACCUAAUAAUUGCGUAUAAAGUCUACUCUAUCCUUCAUGGUUUUAUUUUUUCCUUUCUGCUGGUCUUUUAAAAAAAAAAAAUCCUAGAACAGUUCCUGCUACUUAGUAGAUGCUCAGUGAAUACUUGUUUUGUUUCUGUACUAUUCUUCCAGAUUUUGCACCUGAUCUUUGAGGUCACUAGUUCAGGCCUGUGAUCAUCAGGAGAGACUUUAAUUAUUAUUUAAUUCUCCUUCCACUCUAAACCUUUGUUUUGUUUUUAAACACUUGAAGAAAUAGGGGAGGUCUAUAGAGGCUUCCACUUGGAACUUUUCUUUGUUUCAUUCAGUUAAUAUUUGUCAAAUCUUAUUGACAGUAUUAUGUAAAUGCACAUAUUACAGAGAUAAUGAUCACCUGUAACUUCUUUCCAUUGCCUUUUACAUUUUAGAGAUUUUCUUUCCACAGCGUCUUGCUAAAAGUAUAUGUCUUAUAGUCAUACACAGUACUUGUAUCCUGGCUUUACUUCAAAGGGCACAUAUGUCAGGUGUUUCUUGCACUUCAAAUAGAUUUCAGUUUUAAAGUCAUUUAUGGAACAUAUGUGAAAUGCCUAGUUUUAAAAAAUAUAUAGAAAACAAUAAAUGCAUAUGUUUUAUUUGCAUAGUGCUAAACCUAUGUUUAACAGGAAGUCUAAAAACAUCAUGGAUAAGCUUUUAUAUUUCCUACCAAGUCUUUUUUUUACAAUUAAUUAAGCAAAUACCUUAACAGAGAAAAAAAAGUUUUUCAACUGAAGCAUUCUUUCUGUUUAGUUUAUAUUAAAAAGCCCCAUUUGGAGUUCCUGUGGUGGUGCGGCAGGAACAAAUCUGACUAGGAACCAUAACGUUUCAGGUUCAAUCCCUGGCCUCGCUUAGUGGGUUAAGAAGCCAGUGCUGCUGUUAGCUGUGGUGUAGGUCGCAGAUGUGGCUUGGAUCCCGUAUUGCUGUGGCUCUGGUGUAGGCCGGCAGCUGUAGUUCCGAUUAGACCCCUAGCCUGGGAACCUCCAUAUGCCCAAAGUGCAGCCCUAAACACACACAUACACACACAAAGCUCCAUUUAAACCUGAUUUCAAAAACAAAACCUUUAAAGAAAGCUCUGAAGACAAACCCUUUAAUUGUACUGGUUGAAUUAACAGAAAAAUAUUUCAAAACUGGAGUUCCCAUUGUGGCUCAGCAGUAAUGAAACUGACUAGUAUCCAUCAGGACAUGGGUUCAAUCCCUGGCCCCACUUAAUGGGUUAAGGAUUUGACGUUGUGGUGAGCUGCAGUGUAGGUCGCAGAUGCAGUUCAGAUCCAGUGUUGCUGUGGCUGCAGCCCUAAGAAGACCAAAAAAACCAACCCUCAAAAUGAUUCUUCAGUAAAGGACAGGAAAGUAUAUAGCACCCCCUUUUUUUUUCUUUUUAGGGUUACCUGCAGCACACAGCAUUUCUCAGGCGGGGGUUGAAUUGGCACCGCAGCCACAGCAAUGCCCAGUUGGAGCCACAUCUUCGACCUAUGCUGCAGCUUUUGGCAAUGCUAGAUCCUUAACCCACCGAUUGAGGGCAGGAAUCGAACCUGCAUCCUCAGAUACUAGCAGGGUUCUUAACCCACUGAGCCACAACAGGAACUCCAAGCCUAUUCUUGAUGAGACACUGGAAACAAAAAACUUUAGCUCUGUUAUUUGAAAUCUGAAUGAAACAAUAAUAGAAAAAGUGGGAGUUCCCGUUGUGGCGCAGUGGUUAACGAAUCCGACUAGGAACCAUGAGGUUGCGGGUUCGGUCCCUGCCCUUGCUCAGUGGGUUAACGAUCCGGCGUUGCCGUGAGCUGUGGUGUAGGUUGCAGAUGCAGCUCGGAUCCAGCGUUGCUGUGGCUCUGGCGUAGGCCGGCGGCUACAGCUCCGACUCGACCCCUAGCCUGGGAAUCUCCAUAUGCCACGGGAGC
rnacentral:lncRNA from 1 species